GGGGUUGUGGUUCAGCGGUAGAGCACUCACCUAGCAUGUGAGAGGUCCCGAGUUCAAUCCUCAGCACCA
rnacentral:tRNA from 1 species